rnacentral:rRNA from 1 species
AUUGAACGCUGGCGGCAUGCCUUACACAUGCAAGUCGAACGGCAGCACGGGAGCAAUCCUGGUGGCGAGUGGCGAACGGGUGAGUAAUAUAUCGGAACGUGCCAGUCGUGGGGGAUAACGUAGCGAAAGCUACGCUAAUACCGCAUACGAUCUAUGGAUGAAAGCGGGGGAUCGCAAGACCUCGCGCGAUUGGAGCGGCCGUUAUCAGAUUAGGUAGUUGGUGAGGUAAAGGCUCACCAAGCCGACGAUCUGUAGCUGGUCUGAGAGGACGACCAGCCACACUGGGACUGAGACACGGCCCAGACUCCUACGGGAGGCAGCAGUGGGAAUUUUGGACAAUGGGCGCAAGCCUGAUCCAGCAAUGCCGCGUGCAGGAUGAAGGCCUUCGGGUUGUAAACUGCUUUUGUACGGAACGAAACGGUGAGCUCUAAUACAGUUUGCUAAUGACGGUACCGUAAGAAUAAGCACCGGCUAACUACGUG